rnacentral:sRNA from 1 species
UAAUGAAGAUGCAAAAAGAGCCGAGCAGUAACUCGACUCUAAUGUAGCCCGUUAAAAAGACGGUGGCUUGUUUACAGUGUAUAUAACA